UACGGGGGGAGCAAGCGUUGUUCGGAUUUACUGGGCGUAAAGGGCGCGUAGGCGGUCACGACAAGUCAGUUGUGAAAUCUCCGGGCUUAACUCGGAACGGUCAACUGAUACUGUCGGACUAGAGUGCAGAAGGGGCAACUGGAAUUCUCGGUGUAGCGGUGAAAUGCGUAGAUAUCGAGAGGAACACCUGCGGCGAAGGCGGGUUGCUGGGCUGACACUGACGCUGAGGCGCGAAAGCUAGGGGAGCAAACGGG
rnacentral:rRNA from 1 species